UGCACACGGGUCGUCCGGAUCUGCCGCUGCAUGCCUGGAUUUCCAAAGAUAAGUUCUUUUUUUUUACUGUCAGCUUAGAUUGUCAUCGUUUCUACCUUUUGAUUGUGGAUUAUUUUUUAUUUUUUUAGUGUGUUAGGUCAGGUUUUGGGGGAUUCAUCAGAGAUAUUAAUUUCCCUUAUUUGUUUUGUUUUCUCUCAUUUUAGACAUUCAUCUCUCUUUCUGUCUGUUUAUUCUCUGUUUUAAGGUCGGUUGCUUUUUUUUUUUAUUGGGUUUUUUUUGUGUGGCUUUUUAUUUGUUUUUCCAGGUUAUAGAUCUGAUGGUUUUUUGUAUACCAAUCUUGGUUUUGUUUUUCCUAGAAAAUUGUUUUUAUCUGAUUGUGGGUUCGUGGGUUUUAAUUUCUUUCAUUCGUUUCAGGUUGCAAAGCAGGAGGUUUUGACUUGAAGGUUCAGCUCAAGGUUUGAGGCGGUGCGAGAAGAGGCCAGACAUCAAACAUGGAAGCUUCACUAAAGAGGAAGACAACAUUAUCUGCAACCUCUACAACCAGAUAGGAAGCCGGCAAGUAAACAAAUUUAAAUGGUUAUUUUUUUUUUAAUUUUUUAAUUUAUAAUCUGCAACAUUUAAUUCCUUUACAUGAUUUUGUCUAGAAUUCGUUUAAAGAUUUAAAAUUUCUCUCCACUCUGUUAAUGGGUUUGAUUUUUCCCCAUCUGUUUUGCAGUUUGAGUCUACUGAGUUUUGCGGAUUCACUCAAUUGCAAUCAUCUCUUCUGCAAUUAAUCUCUACCUUCAUUGUUAGAUGUAUUAAUACUUGGAAUGUGGUUGAUCAUAUUGCCAUCUGUUUUGCAGUUGGAUGUAUUAAUACUUGGAAUGUGUGUGAUCAUAUUGCCAGUGUUUGCUUAUUUUUUUACAGCACUUACACUGUGAAGUCAAUGAAAUCGGGUUCCUUUUGUCUAGUUUAUAAAAUUUCAUAUCGGCGCAGAAGUAUGAAUCAUGAUAAUUUUAUGUUUGUGCUGAACUGUUAGAGGCUACAAUUGUUUUUAUGUGAAAUCAUUUACUUUCAUCAUAAUGAGUUUACUUCUAGGACAGUGCAACCUUUAAAGGGAAAGGAUACAUUCAGACCAAAAAAAAAAAAAAAUGGGAAGGGAUACAUCCAUUCUUUUGUUUAAGAUCAAAACUAUUUAUUAGUCAUAUUUAUAAGCAAGUGUUUAUAUUAGGAGGUGGUAUGUUGACUAAGCUUUUCAGUUAAAAGGUGGAGGUGUCUUUGAGGUUUAAUACAAUACAUAGGUGGAUUCUUUAAUAUUAGAUUAGAUUUUCAAAAUUUUUAGUACGUUAGGUCCGAUUUUGGGGGAUUCAUCUCUCUCAUUAUUCCUUUAUUUGUUUUAUUUUCUCUUAUUUUGGGUAUUCACUCUCUGUUCUGUCUGUUUGUUCUUUGUUUUAAGAUCAGUUGCUUUUUUUUUUUGGGUUUUUUUUUGUGGGUUUUCAGUUCAUUAAUUUGUUUAGUUGUUGUUAAUUUUACAGUUUAAUUGUUUCCCCUAAUCUGGAUUGUUAGGUUUUGAACCCUUUUUUUCCCAAAAUCCACAUGAACUGAGCUUUAGUGCUUAAAGGAGACCUAUGUUUAAUUCUGUGCCGGAGUUUAUAAUGUAUUUAGAUUGGGAACACAAUCUUCGUUGAAUUGUAAGUUUUUAUCCACUUUUGCAUUUUUCCCCUUCAAUGGUUUCAAUUAAUUGUUGUUAGUAUAACUAUUGCUCUCUAAGCUGUGAAAUUAGGUGUAAGAAAAUAUUUUUUGUACUUAUAUGGAAUUGUUGAUUUCCAUGGAAGCUAAGUAUGUGUGUAAUUGUAUUGGGGCUUUUGGAUCUGUUGGCUUUUCUGUUUUGAUCAAAAUUGUUGAUUUCUUUUGUGGAAUUGAGUUUUAGCCUCGAAUCGGAGACGUGGGUGCUUGAGAACGUUUAAUUUUUACAUGCAUUGUAAAGUGUUUGUAAUUGUAAACAUGUUUGAAUCUUAUACUUUCUAUUUUUUUUUUCUUUUUUUGUUUGCAUUUUUUAGGCAAGCAAAAUGAUGUAAACUGGCGAUUUAUGGUGGCUUUGAAAGGGUGACUUGCUCUUACAAAGUUCUGGAAGAUAAACUACUUUGGAGCCAGUAGCACUCAGUUGCCAGAACAGCGGCCUUUCUCUCCCUUAUCGGAAAAUGGGUGCUUUCAAGUGCUGGAAAAUUGGAAAGCUCUGGAAACAAUAUAGUUUUUGAGCUAAUGUGAAGAUUUUGGGUUGAAUACUUUGAUUCUGUUUUUCUAUUUGCACUUAGAAAAACAGAGGAUUGUGGUUAAUUAUUGUGAUGUGAAGAUUAUUCAUGGUUUGAAAACCCGCAGCAAAGCGCGGGCAUUCUUGCUAAUUCUAUUCCUAAAGCACAAUCUCACCCAAUCCGCCUAAUGGGUUGUAGAAGUUCGUCAUUCUACCCAAUCUUUAAAUUUUGUUUUUUAUUUUAAGUUCUAUUGUGGGGGCCCAACAGCUGUAUGUUUAAUAGAUUUGUCAUUUGUGUGAAUAAAUAAACAAUGUUUUUUAGUAA